rnacentral:rRNA from 1 species
CCCCUGCAUUCAGUUGCCAACGGUAAGGCCGGGCACGUCUGGAUGGACUGCCGGCGGACAAGCCGGAGGAAGUGGGGAUGACGUCAAGUCAUCAUGGCCCUUAUGUCCAGGGCGACACACGUGCUACAAUGGCCGGCACAGCGGGAAGCGAGGGGGCGACCUUGAGCGGAUCCCUCAAAGCCGGUCUCAGUUCGGAUUGCAGUCUGCAACUCGACUGCAUGAAGUUGGAAUCGCUAGUAAUCGUGGAUCAGCCAAGCCGCGGUGAAUACGUUCCCGGGCCUU